rnacentral:rRNA from 1 species
CCUACGGGAGGCAGCAGUGGGGAAUCUUGCGCAAUGGGGGCAACCCUGACGCAGCCAUGCCGCGUGAAUGAUGAAGGCCUUAGGGUUGUAAAGUUCUUUUGCCCGGGACGAUGAUGACGGUAACGGGAGAAUAAGCUCCGGCUAACUUCGUGCCAGCAGCCGCGGUAAUACGAAGGGGGCUAGCGUUGUUCGGAAUUACUGGGCGUAAAGCGCGCGCAGGCGGUUCGAUAAGUUAGGGGUGAAAUCCCUGGGCUCAACCCAGGAAUGGCCUUUAAGACUGUCGAGCUAGAGGACGAGAGAGGUGAGUGGAAUUCCCAGUGUAGAGGUGAAAUUCGUAGAUAUUGGGAAGAACACCGGUGGCGAAGGCGGCUCACUGGCUCGUUUCUGACGCUGAGGCGCGAAAGCGUGGGGAGCAAACAGGAUUAGAUACCCUGGUAGUCCACGCCCUAAACGAUGAGUGCAGUGUCGGAGCUAGCUCUCGCGCGCAGCACGCUACGCACUCCGCCGUCGGGUAGGUACGGCCGCGAACGUUAAACGUACAAGAAGUAGACGGCGUGAGACGNGCCGACGGACGACGACGAGGGAGUAGG